rnacentral:rRNA from 1 species
GACGAACCGUGCAAACGUUGUUCGGAAUCACUGGGCUUAAAGGGCGCGUAGGCGGAUGCAUCAGUCAGGGGUGAAAUCCCACGGCUCAACCGUGGAAGUGCCUUUGAGACGGUGUGUCUAGAGGGAGGUAGGGGCGUGCGGAACUUCCGGUGGAGCGGUGAAAUGUGUUGAUAUCAUCAGGAACUCCGGUGGCGAAAGCGGCGUGCUGGACCUUUACUGACGCUGAGGCGCGAAAGCCAGGGGAGCAAACGGG